CAGUAUCCACGGUAAUACCAGCACCUCGAGUGGUCAGGAGGUUUAUUGGGCCUAAAGCAUCCGUAGCCGGUUGCAUAAGUUUUCGGUUAAAUCUAUGCGCUUAACGUAUAGGCCGCCGAAAAUACUGUGCAGCUAGGGAGUGGGAGAGGUACACGGUACUCGAUAGGAAGGGGUAAAAUCCUUUGAUCUAUUGAUGACCACCUGUGGCGAAGGCGGUGUACCAGAACACGUUCGACGGUGAGGGAUGAAAGCUGGGGGAGCAAACUGGAUUAGAUACCCCUGUAGUCCUUGUCUCUUAUAC
rnacentral:rRNA from 1 species